rnacentral:tRNA from 1 species
AUACCCUGGUCUUGUAAACCAGAAAAGGAGGACCACCCCUCCCCAAGACU